CCUACGGGUGGCAGCAGUGGGGAAUAUUGGACAAUGGGGGCAACCCUGAUCCAGCCAUGCCGCGUGUGUGAAGAAGGCCCUCGGGUUGUAAAGCACUUUCAGUGAGGAAGAACGCCUGGUGGUUAAUACCCAUCAGGAAAGACAUCACUCACAGAAGAAGCACCGGCUAACUCCGUGCCAGCAGCCGCGGUAAUACGGAGGGUGCGAGCGUUAAUCGGAAUUACUGGGCGUAAAGCGCGCGUAGGUGGCUUGAUAAGCCGGGUGUGAAAGCCCCGGGCUCAACCUGGGAACGGCAUCCGGAACUGUCAAGCUAGAGUGCAGGAGAGGAAGGUAGAAUUCCCGGUGUAGCGGUGAAAUGCGUAGAGAUCGGGAGGAAUACCAGUGGCGAAGGCGGCCUUCUGGACUGACACUGACACUGAGGUGCGAAAGCGUGGGUAGCAAACAGGAUUAGAUACCCUAGUAGUC
rnacentral:rRNA from 1 species